rnacentral:rRNA from 1 species
UGGGGGAAACCCUGACCCAGCGACGCCGCGUGGGGGAAGAAGGCCUUCGGGUUGUAAACCCCUGUCACCGGGGAAGAGGGAGGACGGUACCUGGGGAGGAAGCCCCGGCUAACUACGUGCCAGCAGCCGCGGUAAUACGUAGGGGGCGAGCGUUGUCCGGAAUCACUGGGCGUAAAGGGCGUGUAGGCGGGUUAGCAAGUUGCGGGUAAAAAACCAGGGCUCAACCCUGGGGGUGCCUGCAAAACUGCUGACCUUGAGGGCGGGAGAGGAGGGUGGAAUUCCCGGAGUAGCGGUGAAAUGCGUAGAUACCGGGAGGAACACCAGUGGCGAAGGCGGCUCUCUGGACCGCACCUGACGCUGAGGCGCGAAAGCUAGGGGAGCGAACGGGAUUAGAUACCCCGGUAGUCCUAGCCGUAAACGAUGGUCACUAGGUGUGGGCGGUGGUAAGCCGUCCGUGCCGCAGCAAACGCAAUAAGUGACCCGCCUGGGGAGUACGGCCGCAAGGUUG